ACUGUCUCUAUCCGUCAUUGUCAAUUGUACAUUUUUGUGAUUUUAGUUCAACUUAUCACAAAAUACUCGAAAACGAUUUAAAGUUUCAAUGUCUACAUCUGUUAUUUUAACGGAAUUCACUACAAAACAUUUAUUCCAGUGGUGUAGCAUUUGAAUGCUGCAGCAUGGAACCCGACAGAAUGUGGAGCGAUACAGACAGAAGCGGAAGCAGCAGACCCGUCUCUUUCGGGAGAAAAAGCGCCGCCUGGAAGAAGAGGAGUGCGAAUGGAACUAAUGUACCGUUCACAAGAAACACGUAAGUUCUACUAGAAGCUCAACGCAUCCCGCAUCCCGCAAAGGCUUCGUGCAGAAAGCCGAAAUCUGCAGGGAGAAGGACAGGAGCCUUCUGACGGACAAAUCUGAGGUGAUCGAAAGGGGGAAGCAACGUUUCGACGAGCACCUGAAUGGCGAAGAGAAUGUAGGCACGGGGAUCCAGGCAGCGGAGGACAUGGCUAUGUUGGUGCAGCAGAGGACGGGAACGAAACAAAUCCCACGCUGAGGGAAGUUAAGGAUGCCAUCCACCAGCUCAAAAACAACAAAGCGGCUGGUAAGGACGGUAUCGCAGCAGAACUCAUCAAGACGGGCCCGGAAAAGUUGGCCACCUGUCUGCACCGGAUAGUAGUCAAGAUCUGGGAAACCGAACAGCUACUGGAGGAGUGGAAAGAAGGGAUAAUCUGUCCCAUCCACAAGAAAGGCGACAAGUUAACCCUUUAUUAAACAGUGCACAACGAGGAAAGAUGCAUUCAGCGCCUUAAAAUGAUUUUCUAGGUUAAUAUUGUCUUCUACAAGGUUGUUCCUAAAAAUAAGGCCCUCUUUUCAAAUUGAAAAUUUCAAUAAACAUGAAAAUUAGGGUGGUCCAUAUUUUCAAAGAAAUUGGGAACCAAACUUUUUUAUUUGCAAGAAUGACUAUAUACAUUCUUUGGAAUAGUUGUAGAUCUAUCAAUUUUGAGCAAGUUUGCUGAAGACACUUUCUUUGUAGCUUUAAAAUUGACCGAUCUAGAGGUAUUUUUCUGAAUAAGCUUAGGGUGGUUCAAGAAAAACCGGUUUUCUGGCGUUAACUUUUUCAUUUUCGAAUUUACAUCAAAGUCGCCCAAGAAAUACUUGUAGACAUUGGCGUAUCUAGGAUUUUUUCCUAGGGGGUGCCUAGGGGGUGCCAGUUUCAGUGGCUUCCAGGUUGUUGUUUUUUUUUUGUUAAAGGAAAUACCAAUCCACCCUCAAUUUCUCAGGCCAGUAGUGCCGAACUCGCCUCGGUCGAAAAGCCACUUUAAUAAAGAAAAAAAAAAUUCUCAGUCGCGAGAAAAAUGAGCCCACAAAUUUAAACGCACUAUAUUUUAGAGAAUAGCUUUUUUGGGAAAUUCGAUCCGUUGUACUGAUUUAACACUUUACUUGUCAUGGAGGUAUGAAAACUUGAUAAAUUGAUUGCGUAUAAUACAUGGAAUUUAUAUUUUCACUUUGAACUUAACAAUCAUCGCGACAACCCCUUUGUUGUGUGGAUUAAACACAAUACAUUUUCAAGAGCAAUUAUUAGAAGUGUAAAUCUCGGAAACUAUAAAAUAUACACAAAUUUGCGUGUAACUUGUAUUCAUCAUGA